rnacentral:pre_miRNA from 1 species
AAUAAGUGCAGUUUUACACUAUUCACGUUUAACGUUUGACCGUUCGUCUUAUUUGAAAUUUUUUUAUGAUUAGUAUUUUUAUUACUAUUAGAUGAUAAAACAUGAAUAGUACUUUAUGUGUGACUAAAUAUUUUUAAAAUUUUCAAAUAAGACGGACGGUCAAACGUUGGACACGGAUAUCCACGACUGCACUUAUU